ACUGUGCUCGCCGCCCUGUUUCCGGGCGGGGACGCUCGGGGUGGGACGCUUGUCCGUUACGCGUAGACGCUGCUGCACAGCAAUGAAGUUUCGGGCCAAGAUAGUGGACGGGGCCUGUCUGAACCACUUCACCCGAAUCAGUAACAUGAUAGCCAAGCUUGCCAAAACCUGCACCCUCCGCAUCAGCCCUGACAAGCUUAACUUCAUCCUUUGUGACAAGCUGGCUAAUGGAGGGGUGAGCAUGUGGUGUGAGCUGGAACAGGAAAACUUCUUCAGCGAAUUUCAAAUGGAGGGUGUCUCUGCAGAAAACAAUGAGAUUUAUUUAGAGCUAACAUCGGAAAACUUAUCACGAGCCUUGAAAACUGCCCAGAAUGCCAGAGCCUUGAAAAUCAAACUGACUAAUAAACACUUUCCCUGUCUCACAGUCUCCGUGGAGCUGUCUUCUAUGUCAAACAGUAGCCGCAUCGCGACACACGACAUCCCCAUAAAGGUUAUUCCUAGGAAAUUGUGGAAGGAGUUACAAGAACCGAUGGUCCCAGAUCCUGAUGUUAGUAUUUAUUUACCAGUCUUGAAGACUAUGAAGAGUGUUGUGGAAAAAAUGAAAAACAUCAGCAGUCACCUUGUGAUUGAAGCAAACCUAGAUGGAGAAUUGAAUUUGAAAAUAGAAACGGAAUUAGUAUGUGUUACAACUCAUUUUAAAGAUCUUGGAAAUCCUCCAUUAGCCUCUGAAAGCACCUCUCAAGACAGAAACCCAGAACACAUGGCUGAAGUGCACAUAGAUAUUAGGAAGCUCCUACAGUUUCUUGCUGGACAACAAGUAAAUCCCACAAAGGCCUUAUGCAAUAUUGUGACUAACAAGAUGGUGCAUUUCGAUCUGCUUCAUGAGGACGUCUCCCUUCAGUAUUUCAUCCCCGCGCUGUCCUAGCACCCUGUGGUUGGAGUUGGCAUGCAGAGACUUUGUCAGGAUGGGAGAGGCCGUAGACGUUGUGUUCUCACCACUGUGCAUUGGAUAUGUCAUUCUGGAAAGAAGAUCCUUCUACUUAGAGUAGAAACAAACGAAACUUACAAGGUAUCAUCUGUGUUAAGUGAUGAGACCAUACUUCUUUGAUGUUUCUGAAUAUCAAAGCUGAUUCAGUACUGGUAGAUAUGUCCAUUCUCCCAGAAACAUAUCCAUCAUAUUUCCUGUUAUAAUUACAUCUCAUUGUCCUGUGGAGGUGGACAUGAUAAACAUCUUUUGUUUUCUUGCUUUGUUUUGUUUGA